CACACUCCACAUUUGUGUAGUUCUAACAAUUCCAUUGUUAUAUUCAACGAGCAAAACCCCGAACGAGCCCAAUUCUUCGAAUUAGACAACUUGCUUGAGUUAUUCUUGAUUCUCUGUUUGAGAAAACUCUGAUCGAUUUUUGUGUUCCAACACACCCGUGCCA
rnacentral:sRNA from 1 species